GACGUGGGAGGCGAGCGUUAUCCGGAAUUAUUGGGCGUAAAGGGCGUGUAGGCGGCUCUUUAAGUUCUUGGUGAAAUCUCCUGGCUUAACUGGGAGGGUGCCAAGAAAACUGGAGGGCUUGAGGGCAGCAGAGGGGGGUGGAAUUCCCGGUGUAGUGGUGAUAUGCGUAGAUAUCGGGAGGAACACCAGUGGCGAAGGCGGCCCCCUGGGCUGUACCUGACGCUGAAGCGCGAAAGCGUGGGGAGCAAACAGGAUUAGAUACCCCCGUA
rnacentral:rRNA from 1 species